CCGGUCCUGUGCCCAGAGCCUGCACCCAGCGCCCCACACAGUAACCUGUGUGCCCUGGGGACACGCACUGCACUGGCAGCCAAGGAGAUGCGCUGGCAGGCAGCUUGGGAAGAGAGAUGUUCUUUCUGGAUUCUUCUAUCAAUUCAACCUGGACCAACUGCUUUCCAGGCCAACUGCACAGCUGAUACCUUAGGACAAAUCUUAACACUCUCUUGUUUUGCCACUUCUAUAUACUUACCCUUCAUCUUCCUCUUUCUUGGUCACCCCAUUGUUCUGCUGCGACUAAACUCUGUAAUAACUUCUUAAGAAGUGGUAUAUGAAAAGGAAAACCUUUGAGACUAUUUUACUGUCAAGUCUUGUUGGGUUUUCUGUGUCCACUGCUGUAUGUCAAUGCUAAAAAGUUUGAUGCCA